GGGAGGGGCCUGGAAAAGUCGCGGCGAACUACUUUCUAGCGUAUCCUCUUUUGCCGAUUUUGUAAUGUUCGGGUGUGGGAAAUUUAUAAAAGGCAUUUAAAGACGUGAGUACACUCAAAUUAAGUGACUGGCUAUCUAGCCAAUCAAUGUGGUUAAGGAAAAGAUCCCUUGGGGCAUCAAUGACUCAAAGGGGCGGAGACUGAGUAGAACGCCCAAACGGAUGCCGUUUCUUAGCAGGGCGUUUUCACUGGCCAAUGGUGGGAGGGAACAAUUUCAAAUCUCCAAUAAGACUGAAGCAAGGGCGGAGUCUACCAAUGCCGAAAGCGAGGAGGCGGGAUAAAAGGUCGAGCAGAAGGUAGGCUGCCGGGCACGUUCGUUAUCUUAGUCCUUUCUGCUGGUUGACGCUGCUGAGGAAGCAUCGCUGAAGGCUCUCAACCCUGCCGUCAUGUCUAAGUCAGAGUCUCCCAAGGAGCCCGAACAGCUGCGGAAGCUCUUCAUUGGAGGGCUGAGCUUUGAAACAACCGACGAGAGUCUGAGGAGCCAUUUUGAGCAAUGGGGAACACUAACCGACUGUGUGGUAAUGAGAGAUCCAAAUACCAAGAGAUCCAGGGGCUUUGGGUUUGUCACAUACGCCACUGUGGAAGAAGUGGAUGCUGCCAUGAAUGCAAGACCACACAAAGUGGAUGGAAGAGUUGUGGAACCUAAGAGAGCUGUGUCAAGAGAAGAUUCUCAGAGACCAGGUGCCCACUUAACUGUGAAAAAGAUCUUUGUUGGCGGUAUUAAAGAAGACACUGAAGAACAUCACCUGCGAGAUUAUUUUGAGCAGUAUGGGAAGAUUGAAGUGAUAGAAAUUAUGACUGACAGAGGCAGUGGAAAAAAGAGGGGCUUUGCUUUUGUCACCUUUGAUGACCAUGACUCUGUGGAUAAGAUUGUUAUUCAGAAAUACCAUACUGUGAAUGGCCACAACUGUGAAGUAAGAAAGGCUCUGUCGAAGCAAGAGAUGGCUAGUGCUUCUUCCAGCCAGAGAGGUCGAAGUGGUUCUGGGAACUUUGGUGGUGGUCGUGGAGGCGGUUUUGGCGGCAAUGACAAUUUUGGUCGAGGAGGGAACUUCAGUGGUCGUGGUGGCUUUGGUGGCAGCCGUGGUGGUGGUGGAUAUGGCAGCAGUGGGGAUGGCUAUAAUGGAUUUGGCAAUGACGGUGGUUAUGGAGGAGGCGGCCCUGGUUACUCUGGAGGAAGCAGAGGCUAUGGAAGUGGUGGACAGGGUUAUGGAAACCAGGGCAGUGGCUAUGGCGGGAGUGGCAGCUAUGACAGCUAUAACAACGGAGGAGGCGGAGGCGGCUUUGGCGGUGGUAGUGGAAGCAAUUUUGGAGGUGGUGGAAGCUACAAUGAUUUUGGCAAUUACAACAAUCAGUCUUCAAAUUUUGGACCGAUGAAGGGAGGGAACUUUGGAGGCAGGAGCUCUGGCCCUUAUGGUGGCGGAGGCCAGUACUUUGCUAAACCUCGAAACCAAGGUGGCUAUGGAGGUUCCAGCAGCAGCAGUAGCUAUGGCAGUGGCAGGAGGUUCUAAUUACAUAAAGCCAGGAAGGACUCUGCUAUGAGGCUUAACUGCUGUCAUAAAAUUUGUUUUAAAAAUUCUGCAGUUGUUGGCUAAAAGGAACAUCCUUAAGAGAACAGCCUUUAUUCUGGGCCACUGUACUUCACUCACUGCCAUGCAGUUGGGUUUUAGCUGUACUGCUAAAAAUCAUUCAAUUUUGUGAAUGACUUAAAUUUUUUAAAAUAAACUUUUUAAUUAAC